UGCGAUAGGCGACGGCGACGAGAAGUGCGAUAUUAGGGUUCUCACAUGGUUUCGCGAUGGUGGGAUCCAGGGAUCGGGGAGAGAGAUCGGAUUGGUGUGGGUUCUCAUCACGACAAGGAUCAGGGUGUGUUUAAUGGUGGAAAUCCUUCGAAACUUGGUGAUCUAGAUUGGAAAUUGGGGAAAGGAAGCUUCAUGAUUCGCGGUAGGAUUGGCUCAAAGGGAGAUAGGAUUUCCAUCUCAUCCGUCUUUAUGAAGACGUCCGAUGGCUAUCAAGGGUCACUUGAUGGGAACUAUGGGAGAUAAAAGGAAUGGGGAAAGUACUCGCAAGCGGUGGUUUAGUAAACAGGUGUGGGAAUCUGUUUUGGGGAGUUUUAAGUUUUCAAUAAGCUCUAUGAGCAUUUGUUUCUCAGUUGGUUUACAAGGUGUUUUUAUUUUGAUUUCUAUUGUUGAGGCUUCUUUUGGUUUUAUGGGCAUUCUAUAUGCCCGAGCUUCAAUAUGGAAUGGAUUUGGGAUUUUCAGUUUCUGGAAUUGGUUUGGUUCAGGAUUUGUAGGCAUACUGUUUGGUUGGUUAGUUUCUGUGCAGAUGAUAAUAUAUGGAGGCUCGGGGAUACCAGUACAGGUUCAAAAGGAUGGUUACCAAGGGUUUUGUGGUCACCAAUGGUUUUGUGGUUACUGGAUAAGAGGGGUUUUGUAUAGUCAUCGGCAGAUAACAAUAAGGGAGAGGAAACUGAUACUUAUCAAGCUAGGAAAUGAAUUCUGUUUGGGCUUCUUUGUUCUGAUAAAAGAGAGGAAUUGUGGGGAUUAUUUCUGUACCAGUGUAAUAUUAUUUAUACAGGUAGUCAGGAUUCCUUUUAAUAUACGGAAUGGUAUAUUGUGGUUUAAAUAUGGUGAUGUCGUUAUUAUUAGGAACU